CCCCAGACUCCUACGGGAGGCAGCAGUCGGGAAUAUUGCACAAUGGAGGAAACUCUGAUGCAGUGACACCGCGUAUAGGAAGAAGGUUUUCGGAUUGUAAACUAUUUUAGACAGGGAAGAAAAAAGACAGUACCUGUAGAAUAAGCUCCGACUAACUACGUGCCAGCAGCCGCGGUAAUACGUAGGUGGCAAGCGUUAUCCGGAUUUACUGGGUGUAAAGGGCGUGUAGGCGGGGAAGCAAGUCAGAUGUGAAAACCACGGGCUCAACCUGUGGCCUGCAUUUGAAACUGUUUUUCUUGAGUGCUGGAGAGGCAAUCGGAAUUCCGUGUGUAGCGGUGAAAUGCGUAGAUAUACGGAGGAACACCAGUGGCGACGGCGGAUUGCUGGACAGUAACUGACGCUGAGGCGCGAAAGCGUGGGGAGCAAACAGGAUUAGAUACCCGUGUACCA
rnacentral:rRNA from 1 species